UACGGAGGGUGCAAGCGUUAUCCGGAUUCACUGGGUUUAAAGGGUGCGUAGGUGGGAAUGUAAGUCAGUGGUGAAAUCUCCGUGCUUAACAUGGAAACUGCCAUUGAUACUAUGUUUCUUGAAUUUUUCUGGAGGUCAGCGGAAUAUGUCAUGUAGCGGUGAAAUGCUUAGAUAUGACAUAGAACACCAAUUGCGAAGGCAGUUGACUACAGGGAUAUUGACACUGAGGCACGAAAGCGUGGGGAUCAAACAGG
rnacentral:rRNA from 1 species